rnacentral:rRNA from 1 species
UACGGAGGGUGCAAGCGUUAUCCGGAUUCACUGGGUUUAAGGGGUGCGUAGGCUGAUUUGUAAGUCCGUGGUGAAAUCUCCAGGCUUAACCUGGAAACUGCCGUGGAUACUAUAAGUCUUGAAUGUUGUGGAGGUUAGCGGAAUAUGUCAUGUAGCGGUGAAAUGCAUAGAUAUGACAUAGAACACCAAUUGCGAAGGCAGCUGGCUACACAAAUAUUGACGCUGAUGCACGAGAGCGUGGGGAUCAAAC